ensembl:lncRNA
UUUUUCUUAAAAUAAGAUUUUUAAUAUUACUUAUUAUCAUAAAGAUAUAUUUACACACUUUACAGAAAUAGAAAAUAAAAACACAAAGCUACGCAUGAAAGGAAAAAUAAAAUAAGUACUCCAAGAGCUAAAGCUUAUCUUUUAUAAAUUAGAAACCAAAAGUUCAAAUAUGUACACAGUAUUUCAACCAUUUCUGAUACACUUGUUUUAUUUAUUUAUUUAUUUAUUUAUUUAUGUCAUUUAUUUUUGCCCAGUUCAACAUCAAAACAGAGACAGGGACUGUACAUUUGGCCUGGUGAGUAAUAUGAGCACACACCAUAAACAGGAUAUAAGUUUCAGGAGUAAUACAUCGUCUUUCAAAUGGUAUCUGCUUGAGACCUAGUAACACUGUUGCGAUGGUGUGUAAGCCUACACACUGCGUUUCUCCUAAGGUUGUUCUGAACGUAGCUGAUUUUUGACACAGUGGUUACAUAGAUGGAGAACGUGUCGCAAUCAAGGCAGGAGGGGCCUGUGCUAUUUUGGGUGUAGGAAGUCUCAUUUUGAGGCUCCAAGAUAAUGACAGAUCGUAGUCAUUUCUCACGGGAGAUAAAAUCUAGUUAUCCUUUGGAUUGCCCAGCCGGUGGAAAAACUGUGAAUGCAUUGGAUUGAAUAUCAGCCACUCGAUCCUGCAGACACCCACUCUGAAGGCCAACAUGAUACAGUUUGAUGGGCUAAGGUAAAAUCAUGGAAUGUGCUGUCUGCCACUUCCACAACGAGUGAAAUGUUUGGUUCAGUGUAGAGGAAUCUUAGGUUUAAAAAAAUAAAAACCGUGUGUUUUUUCUGCAAUCUUUUUGUGCGUGAGUGUGUGUGUCGGGGCAGGGCGGUUUGUGUCGAUAGCUAUUGGAGAUCAAUGGCUAAGCUCGUAUUUUAAAACCUGUUUCUAGCUUAUUCUCAUUUCCACCAGUAACACACAUCUAUCUCUCUGCUCAUCCCCACUCCUUACACACUCCCAGCCAAAUGCAUUUGGACGAAAAUAACUAAACACAGAGGGGGCAAGUUCUCAGAACAAACAUUUUUCUACCAGGAAAACAUGCUAACAAGUGCAUAGGAACAUUACUCAGGCCUUGUGAUGGUCACAGAGAAGAGGAACUGGAGAGGAAACAUUGAGAGGAUAGGAAUCGUUUCUCUUGUGUAAGCCUUGCUGGAAAAGACCAUUAAGGAAAAUGGUUUUGCUCCCCGAGCAUAAUGUAUUGGUUUACCAUUUCAGUUUGAGCCUAGACGUGCUUGUCCUUCCACACCACAAGGCCCAUUAACCUGAUGUGCAGGGGAGGGCUGUGGGCUAUGAUCUACAAGAAAAGAAUGCCUGAAAGCUUUCACGUGUCCACGACAUAUUGUGCUGCAGACUACUUUUCUAUUUUGUUACAUCCACAAAAGAUACAGCUUCUCACACUGUAUUCAAAAAAGUAAGCUUUGGACAACCAGCUAGACAAGAAUCAGACAAAAAAAAAUAAAAAUGUCACAAUACACUGGAAAACCAUUCCAUACCAAGAGAGUCUUGUUUUCAGGGUGUAUUUUUCCAGCAGCAUAAUGGAAUUGCAAAAGUGCAGCCUUGCAAACCCAUGCAGAGAAGUCUUGGAGCAAAGCCACGUCUAUUUGUUGGGACUCAUUGACAUCGGAGGCUUUGGAUCAGUGGGAUAUUUGGCUUUUGAUUUUUGUCUUUUUUGGAUUCAACUGAUAACCAGGCCGAGAUUUAAAAAGGGUUCUGUACAUAAACAUCGGUUUGCUCUGGUCUCUGAAAGGGCAGCGUGGCUGGUGCGAAUGGUGAGGAUACAUUCAUGAAAAACAGUGCGGAUACAGACGUUGCUCGGCUCUGUAACAAUAACUUCUGAGAUGGGGAAACAUUGAUUUGAACCCCGUGUCAUGACCCAGUCUACUUCCAGCAUCCCAACUCCUGUGGCUUUGAACUUUCAUCCUCAGCUCAUAUCUCCUUACUAUCAUCCCCAAUAAUACAUGAGACAUCCUGAGCAAAGCUGUCUCACUCCCGAGGAGCAUUAAUGAAAUCUACAUCUCUGUCUGAGAGGGUAUGAAAAAAUAAUGGUGGAACUGAAAUUAUUACACUUCACAGUGCCCUAGGAUUUAAUACAUUUUUAAUCAAGGUGAGCUUGGCUGGGUGGAUUACCACUGUGAUGUUAGAUGCUCUCUUAAUAAAAGCAUCUCACGCUGGGACUGAGAAGUCUCUGCAUUUUAUUAUAAUAUUUGCAUGAGACAUGGCGAGAGGGGAAAAGUGUUGGAAAUCUAGGUUAAUCAGUUGCCAGUUGCUUAUGUGGUCAAAACUGAUUUGAAAGAAAUGAGUUUGCUGAUUGAACUGGAGCAGAUUAAAGAAAACAAAAGCAAUUAGCAAGUUGCUCUGCACAGCUAAUACACAACAACAAAGGAUUGUAAGGUGUCUUUUUCUACAGGUCACAGUCCUAAUAUGUUACAUGGUUACACACUGAAUCAGCAGGGGGUUCGGAAAUUGCAAAGGGGGAAGGGUGCAGUUUCUGUCUAAGCCAAUUUAACAAUGAGCUCAGACUAAGUGGCCCUGGCCAACCUUGGGGAGAUCCAUCUGAGAAAGAUUAACUCUAGGAUUUAAUGAGUGUAAUGAUCAAAGCCGUGACCACCUGUGCUGUGGAAAGGCAGACCAGGAAGGCAACUGUACCCAACAUAAUGUAGGGAAAGGAUCGUGACUAAGUGACUGAAUCGGAAUAAAUCAUGGCUAUAUUGAUGUAUACAUACGAGGGAGAGUAAAGAUACAAUAUACGAAAAUAUGCUCAUAUACGUUUUAAAUGUAUUGUAUGUUUGUGUCUUGUUAAAUAAAUGCACAAAAUAGACUGCUCUAGUACAAGCCUCUAUCACAGCACCCUGAGAAAAAAAGAAAUCAAACUAUAACACAGAAAUAAACAUAAACAGUAAUAUAUUCCAGUAUGAUGGAAAGGCAUAGCAUUUUUGUCAGUGAAAGAUAUCGGUCAAAGGGUCAAACCAGCCAUAUGCUGAAUGUUAAAACAGCCAGAGCACUAGUGGUAGGCUGAUCACGGCGGCAUAUUAACUGAGCUCUUUUUGGUCUAAUUUAACUUGUCCUCCUUGUGUUGGAUUUCUCUUUGCAGAAAUUUAAAAUGCAUAAUGUGUCAGUGUAUCAAGACUUCAAACAAGAGGUAAUGUGUUUCUCGUUUUCGCCCUAACCUUUCAUUGCUUCGCUCCUGGCAGCAUUGUGGAGAAGGUUAUUAUUUGGCACUUCAUUAAAAGGCAAGGCGGCCUGUCGGUGGAGCAGACCGCCACUGCCAGUUAACAGUCGUGUAGAGCAGCUGCACGGGGGCAGCGGUGUGGUGAGAAGGCUGGGGAUUGGGGACAGGAUUGGGAUUUGGGGUCAAAGGACUCAUCCAAGGUGGGACAUGUUACAGAGCACGCCCGUAAACCCCGCCUCCCAAGGUGUUAAUGAGUUCAGAAACACCAGAAUAGCUUUGGAUUAAAGAAUCUCCUAAAUGAAGGACUUAUUCUGUCACUUUACUAGAUUGUUUUGAUAGUAUGUGCUCUCUUUUUAGUCCGUCUUUGCUUUGCAUGUGGACGUACUGUCAUAAGGAGGUACAAAGCACCAUUAAUAAUGAUAAUUAAGUGAUGAUAGUGAUGUUAUUAAGUUGUGACGCUUUUGCUCGUCCGUUUCAAACAAAACCUUUUUAUUCCUUUUUCGCAUCAGACAUCCAGAGUAUCACAAGCGAACUUAAUAUUUGCCAACUAUUAAAACUGACACUGCCCCGUCUGCAUGAUCAGCGCCCUCACCCGACGGUAAAGCCGUUAAAUAGCUACACAGCAAUGAAAUCAGCGGCUGCAGGAACCUUGGAUCCGAGACGUGGGAAUACCGCAUCGUGGAGAAGGGACAGAUGCUUUAGGAUUCAGAUUGUUUUGACCAGGCUCCCUCUCCACCACAUGUCAUGCAAAGUGUGUGAGACACUCAGGGAGAUUGCUAUGAUUGGGCUCUAUUAAGCAAAUAAUAAGAAAAUUGAAAAGAAAAAAAAAACACUUGGGAGAAGACAGAGAUAGAUAAGUAGUCAGGGAGAGAGAGAGAGAGAAAAGAGAGACAGAGAAAUAGAGUCUGAUAGCUCGGGCUCAAUACCCCCCACCCCCCCUUCCCUGCCCCCAGUUCCUCCUAGAGCUGAGGGUGAGCGGCUUGUCCUGAUUUUUUUUGUGGACAGAGUUGCUUGAAGAACCAGCAGGUGCUAUGGACAUCACUCUUCAGGCUGGGCAAGCGUAGGCCCUUCAUUGCAAGGCCCCCCAAGGCAAAGGAAGAGCAUAGAAAUCAGAACCUGGGGGAGGGCGCUCAAAGCAGUGCCUGCAAAACAGGAAGACGACACAGAAAAGAAAGUUCAUGAGCCCCUGCCGUCUGUUUUUCCUGAAAACCAUUCAGUCAUGCAGACAUUAACUU